rnacentral:rRNA from 1 species
GACGAACGCUGGCGGCGUGCUUAACACAUGCAAGUCGAGCGGAAAGGCCCUUCGGGGUACUCGAUCGGCGAACGGGUGCGUAACACGUGAUUAACCUGCCCCAGACUUUGGGAUAACCCUCGGAAACGGGGGCUAAUACCGGAUACGACACAGCUUCGCAUUUGGUCUUUGUGGAAAGUUUUUCGGUUUGGGAUGGGCUCGCGGCCUAUCAGCUUGUUGGUGGGGUGAUGGCCUACCAAGGCGCCGACGGGUAGCCGGCCUGAGAGGGCGACCGGCCACACUGCGACUGAGACACGGCCCAGACUCCUACGGGAGGCAGAAGUGGGGAAUAUUGCACGAUGGGCGGAAGCCUGAUGCAGCGACGCCGCGUGAGGGAUGACGGCCUUCGGGUUGUAAACCUCUUUCAGCAGGGACGAAGCGUAAGUGACGGUACCUGCAGAAGAAGCGCCGGCCAACUACGUG